CAUUCAAGUCACAGAGGUGAACAUUCCCUUUCAUACAGCAGGUUUGAAACACUCUUUUUGUAGUGUCUGGAAGUGGACAUUUGGAUUGCUUUCAGGCUUAAGGUGAAAAAGGAAAUAUCUUCCCACAAAAACUACACAGAAGCAUUCUCAGAAACUACUUUGUGAUGUGUUUACUCAACUUCAGAGUUGAACAUUUCUUUUGAUAGAGCAGUUUUGAAACACUCUUUUUGUAGAAUCUGCAAGAGGAUAUUUGGAGAGCUUUGAGGAUUUCUUGGAAACGGGACUAUCUUCAUAUAAAAUCUAGACAGAAGCAUUCUCAGAAGCAAAUUUGUGAUGUUUACCUUGAAGUCAGAGAGUUGUACAUUCCCUUUCAUAGAGCAGGUCUGAAACACUCUUUUUGUAGUAUGUGGAAAUGGACAUUU
rnacentral:lncRNA from 10 species